AUUCAGUUUUUCAUGAGUCUUUAUCCACUGACGCUUCUGUUUGCCAAAAGUGUCAGAUGCAUAUGUAUGAAUUAAAAAAUGCAUUUUACUUCAGAGUUCAAUAUAAGUAAUUUUGAAAUACAUGUAAUAGUUAUAUGUGAUUCUCAUUUAUUCCACAAUUAUAAGAAAUGGGAAUACCUAAUGAACUGAUUCAUGUUUUUUUCAAGCUAAUGUGAAAAUAUAAGUAUUAGAAUGAAUCUCUCACAAGAAGUUUCUUUUUUCUGAGACAGGGUCUCACUCUGUCACUCAGGCUGGAAUGCAGUGGUGUGAUCAUAGCUCACUCAGCCUCAAACUCCUGGGCUCAAGCAAUUCUCCCACUUCAGCCUCCAAAGUAGCUGGGACCACAGGAGGGCACUGUAUUGCCAGGUCCCUGGAUGUGGUGUGAAGACUGUUCUCUACAAAACUCUAGAAGGCACGAUUUUCAUCAGAUUCACAGCCAGCGUGGCCAUACGCAGUAAGCCUGUAUUAGGUAGCCAUGUUUAUUGCCCCAAAUACUACCGAGCCAUAGGCAAUAACCUGGCUUUCUUUUCUGUAAAAAUUAUGUUAGUAAAACUUGACUACCUUAUUUAGAAGUUUGUGUUAAAUCAAGUUUAGCCUGAAGUUGCUUGCUUACGUAUUUUAAGUUCAGCCUAAAGGUCUCUCUAUACGUGUGAACUAUAACCUAAAUGGAGAUAUAAACAGACUGUAACCUAUUCUCGUGCCAGUCACCGAGUUUUGGCCAGUCAAAGGGGGACAACUGUUCAAACCGUGUUCAAAUAAGGCAAACAUAUAAACAAUCUGGCUGUUUUUCUACAUCAUGUCUUUUGUUGUUGUUGUUGUUUUGAGACAAGAUCUCGCUCUG
rnacentral:lncRNA from 1 species